GCCCCGAUAGCUCAGCUGGAUAGAGCAGCGGACUUCUAAUCCGCAGGUCGUAGGUUCGAAUCCUACUCGGGGUG
rnacentral:tRNA from 1 species